UCUGGUGAUGAUGGCAUGGAAGUAACACUCCUACCCAUUCCGAACAGGAUAGUUAAGAUCCAUAGCGCUGAAGGUACUGCAUGGGAGACUGUGUGGGAGAUUAGGACGUUGCCAGGU
rfam:Clostridium taeniosporum strain 1/k, complete genome.